UCAGACGAUGCGUCAUGCAUAUCAAUAAGCGGAGGAAAAGAAACUAACAAGGAUUCCCCUAGUAACGGCGAGUGAAGCGGGAAGAGCUCAAAUUUGAAAUCUUAAAGGGUUUCCCUUUACGAAUUGUAGUUUAAAGAAGUGUUUUCUGUUGAGGUUUUGGUAAAAGUUCUUUGGAAUAGGACAUCAUAGAGGGUGAGAAUCCCGUAUUUGACCUUUACUUUCAACUUUGUGAUACACUUUCAAAGAGUCGGAUUGUUUGGGAAUGCAGUCCAAAAUGGGUGGUAAAUUUCAUCUAAAGCUAAAUAUUGGCGAGAGACCGAUAGCGAACAAGUACCGUGAGGGAAAGAUGAAAAGAACUUUGAAAGAGAGUUAAACAGUACGUGAAAUUGUCAAAAGGGAAGCGUUUGACACCAGUGUUGUUUUUCUGAAAAUCAAUUAAAGAACUGUUUAUGCUAAGCUGUUUAGACUUUAUCAGCUAUCUGUUUAGUUUUGAGCUUUUCUUUAAUGCACUUUUCAGUUAACAAGUCAACAUCAAUUUCUUUUGCUGUAAAAAAGCUUGAGGAAGGUGGCUUGAGAUUCGUCUUAAGUGUUUAUAGCCUCUUGCCUAUGCAGUCGGAGAGAUUGAGGUCUGCAGCGUAGAUCCUUCGGGGCUAAAUGCAUUUGUGCUAAGUUAUAGCAUUUUAUAGACAACUUGUUGACUAUGAUUUGUCUUGUAGCUUACUCGCUUAUGUUAUUUUACCUACGCUUAGGAUGUUGAAGAUGUAGCACAUCAU
rnacentral:rRNA from 1 species